GACGAACGCUGGCGGCGCGCUUAACACAUGCAAGUCGAACGGAAAGGCCUGCUUUCCCUUGUGGAUUGCGGGUACUCGAGUGGCGAACGGGUGAGUAACACGUGAGUGAUCUGCCCCCAACUUGGGUAUAAGCCUGGGAAACUGGGUCUAAUUCCCGAUAGGACUGCAGGGUGGUGCCUGUGGUGGAAAACGAUUUUCUAGUGGUUGGGGAUGAGCUCGCGGCCUAUCAGCUUGUUGGUGGGGUAAUGGCCUACCAAGGCGGCGACGGGUAGCCGGCCUGGGAGGGGGGACGGGCACAUUUGGACUGAGGUACCGGCCAGAAUUCGACGGGAGGCAGGAGUGGGGAAUAAUGGCCCAAGGGGGGGAGCCUGAUGCAGCGACGCCGCGUGGGGGAUGACGGCCUUCGGGUUGUAAACUCCUUUCGACCGCGAGGAAGCCACCUGGUUGGAAGGGUGGUGACGGUAGUGGUAGAAGAAGCACCGGCUAACUACGUG
rnacentral:rRNA from 1 species